CCGGCGCACGGGUGAGUAACGCGUAUGCAACUUACCUAUCAGGAGGGGGAUAACCCGGCGAAAGUCGGACUAAUACCGCAUGAAGCAGGGGCCCCGCAUGGGGAUAUUUGCUAAAGAUUCAUCGCUGAUAGAUAGGCAUGCGUUCCAUUAGGCAGUUGGCGGGGUAACGGCCCACCAAACCGACGAUGGAUAGGGGUUCUGAGAGGAAGGUCCCCCAUAUUGGUACUGAGACACGGACCAGACUCCUACGGAAGGCAGCAG
rnacentral:rRNA from 1 species